AUUGAACGCUGGCGGCAGGCCUAACACAUGCAAGUCGAGCGAGCGGCGGACGGGUGAGUAAUGUAUGGGGAACUGCCUGAUAGAGGGGGAUAACUACUGGAAACGGUGGCUAAUACCGCAUACUAUCCGAUGAACCCAUAUGGGAUUAGCUAGUAGGUGGGGUAAAGGCUCACCUAGGCGACGAUCUCUAGCUGGUCUGAGCGGAUGACCAGCCACACUGGUACUGAGACACGGCCCAGACUCCUACGGUAGGCAGCAGUGGGGAAUAUUGCACAAUGGGCGCAAGCCUGAUGCAGCCAUGCCGCGUGUAUGAAGAAGGCCUUCGGGUUGUAAAGUACUUUCAGUCGGGAGGCGUUACCGACAGAAGAAGCACCGGCUAACUCCGUGCCAGCAGCCGCGGUAAUUC
rnacentral:rRNA from 1 species